rnacentral:lncRNA from 1 species
UCAAAAGAGUUUACUAUGCAUAUGAAUAUAUCAUAAGAUGAAUAGAGACAAUACUCAAGGCAGGGGUAAGAUAAUAAUAGAAGAGUAGUGUGACACACAAAAAAAUCAUCUCAAGAUAACUAAGCUAGGGAAAAGGACUAAGAGUUAGCUCUAGGUUUAUAUUGAAGGACCAGAAAGGUGACCACAGGGGGGGGUGACUGGGAGCCGAUUCAAAUUUUCUCAAAGAACUUAGGCUAAAGUCCCAAAUCAAUCCACAAACCUCUCUUCUAGAAAAAUCAAGUCCACUUAGCUAUGCACGAGUUAAUGGACCUAGGACUGAUGCUAGGAACCCAAUUUGAGACUAGCAGAAACAAGAAAGAGUCCAAAAAAGUGUCGGAACAAGUACUUUGAAAACCUUCCGAAAAUUCCGGAACCUCAGAAAUUUCCA